rnacentral:rRNA from 1 species
ACAAAAGCGCAUGUGCUGUGAGCUCGAUGAGUAGGGCGGGACACGUGGUAUCCUGUCUGAAUAUGGGGGGACCAUCCUCCAAGGCUAAAUACUCCUGACUGACCGAUAGUGAACCAGUACCGUGAGGGAAAGGCGAAAAGAACCCCGGCGAGGGGAGUGAAAAAGAACCUGAAACCGUGUACGUACAAGCAGUGGGAGCACCCUUUGGGGUGUGACUGCGUACCUUUUGUAUAAUGGGUCAGCGACUUAUAUUCUGUAGCAAGGUUAACCGAAUAGGGGAGCCGGAGGGAAACCGAGUCUUAAUUGGGCGUUAAGUUGCAGGGUAUAGACCCGAAACCCGGUGAUCUAGCCAUGGGCAGGUUGAAGGUUGGGUAACACUAACUGGAGGACCGAACCGACUAAUGUUGAAAAAUUAGCGGAUGACCUGUGGCUGGGGGUGAAAGGCCAAUCAAACCGGGAGAUAGCUGGUUCUCCCCGAAAGCUAUUUAGGUAGCGCCUCGUGAAUUCAUCUCCGGGGGUAGAGCACUGUUUCGGCUAGGGGGCCAUCCCGGCUUACCAACCCGAUGCAAACUGCGAAUACCGGAGAAUGUUAUCACGGGAGACACACGGCGGGUGCUAACGUCCGUCGUGAAGAGGGAAACAACCCAGACCGCCAGCUAAGGUCCCAAAGUCAUGGUUAAGUGGGAAACGAUGUGGGAAGGCCCAGACAGCCAGGAUGUUGGCUUAGAAGCAGCCAUCAUUUAAAGAAAGCGUAAUAGCUCACUGGUCGAGUCGGCCUGCGCGGAAGAUGUAACGGGGCUAAACCAUGCACCGAAGCUGCGGCAGCGACACUAUGUGUUGUUGGGUAGGGGAGCGUUCUGUAAGCCUGCGAAGGUGGCCUGUGAGGGUUGCUGGAGGUAUCAGAAGUGCGAAUGCUGACAUAAGUAACGAUAAAGCGGGUGAAAAGCCCGCUCGCCGGAAGACCAAGGGUUCCUGUCCAACGUUAAUCGGGGCAGGGUGAGUCGACCCCUAAGGCGAGGCCGAAAGGCGUAGUCGAUGGGAAACGGGUUAAUAUUCCCGUACUUGGUGUUACUGCGAAGGGGGGACGGAGAAGGCUAUGUUGGCCGGGCGACGGUUGUCCCGGUUUAAGCGUGUAGGUGUGUGUUCCAGGUAAAUCCGGUU